UACGGAGGAGGCAAGCGUUAUCCGGAAUUAUUGGGCGUAAAGCGUCCGUAGAUGGUUUUGUCAGUCUGCUGUCAAAGCACAGGGCUUAACCCUGUAAAGGCGGUGGAAACUACAAGACUAGAGUGCAGUAGGGGCAGAGGGAAUUCCCAGUGUAGCGGUGAAAUGCGUAGAGAUUGGGAAGAACACCCGUGGCGAAAGCGCUCUGCUGGACUGCAACUGACAUUGAGGGACGAAAGCUAGGGGAGCGAAUGGG
rnacentral:rRNA from 1 species